AUUUUGGGAACUUGCUUGUCUAAGUAGUUGAUGCCAAAAGACUCACAUAUUCCAUAUCUAUCAUAGUGUAGCUAGCUAUAUACAUAGGCAGAUUGACUACUUUUAGUCCUGGUUUGCAUAUCAUUGAGCUAUAGAAGUUUGCUUUAUCCAUUUGUGGGAUUAAAUGAUACUGUAUAAUGGCUGUAAGCUUUUAUAAAAUAUCUUUGGGUUCUUUGUUUGACCCAAACAUAAUGUAAGUCUUAAUGACAAAGUGCAAAAGCUAACCAGAGGUGAGUGAAAAUAUAUCCUGUUCCCAGUUUUGUCUGCACCUGAAAUGCAUGUGCAAUGUUUUGCAAUAUGUUCUCACUAGCAUGAAUGUGCUGACUACUUCAUGAGGUUUUAAUUUGUUUCACUUAUAAUCAUGAUGGAAAAUGCUGUAUUCUUAACAAUGAACUGUAACUACAUUUAAUUACUGCAUAAACUUUUUGUUUACUAACCAC
rnacentral:lncRNA from 1 species